GGCGGAACAAGUCAGUCAGGAGGUCCAAACUGGGAUCAAAAGUAUUCAUAAGUGGUCCUCAACAGAUGUGUGUGCCUUCAUCAAGGCCAGAGGGGAGGCAGAGUAUCUUUUCACCGGCCACAGAAACACGGCAAUGGAAGGAUGGAAACAGGUGCUUGAUUCCAUCGGCCUUGCAGGCAUGGUCAGCCCACUUCAGGCCCGCAAGAAGUGGGAUAACCUAAAAUCAAAGUAUAAGGAGCUGAAGUGCCCACCCACAGGCACUGGGACAGACAAUGGGGAGGAUACGGCUGCCUCGUGGCCAUGGUACUCUGCCAUGGAUGAGCUGCUUGGUCAGAGGCACUCCAUCACACCACCCGUGCUGCGUGCCUCUUUGCCCUGCAGCUCAUCCAUGGCAGAGCCCAACUCUAUGGGUGCCGUGUCCUCCCCACAGAGAAGUGUGUCCUCCCCACCACCGAGAGAGGAGAGCCAGGAACCACCGAGGAAGAGGAGGUACAACAUGGCUUUUGUGGGGGAGAUGAUGGAGAGGGCGGAGGCCUCUGAAGCGGAAAGGCAGCGGAGAGAGAUGGAGCGGCAGGAGAGGGCCGAACUCAGAAUGGAUAAGCUUCUGGCUAUUAUGGAGCGGUUGGCCGAAAAAUAAAAAACAAUAACAAUUACAAUACCAUUUACAG
ensembl:lncRNA